GGCCACGUGGCCUAAUGGAAUGGCAUCGGUCUUCGAAACCGGGGAUUGUGGGUUCGAACCCCAUCGUGGUCU